UACGGGGGGGGCAAGCGUUGUUCGGAAUUACUGGGCGUAAAGGGCUCGUAGGCGGCCAACUAAGUCAAACGUGAAAUCCCUCGGCUUAACCGGGGAACUGCGUCUGAUACUGGAUGGCUUGAGUUUGGGAGAGGGAUGCGGAAUUCCAGGUGUAGCGGUGAAAUGCGUAGAUAUCUGGAGGAACACCGGUGGUGAAGGCGGCAUCCUGGACCAACACUGACGCUGAGGAGCGAAAGCCAGGGGAGCAAACGGG
rnacentral:rRNA from 1 species